rnacentral:tRNA from 1 species
GCGCGGGUGGCGGAAUUGGUAGACGCGCACGUUUGAGGGGCGUGUGGGGCAACCCAUGAGAGUUCAAUUCUCUCCCCGCGCA